rnacentral:misc_RNA from 1 species
UCUCAUCCGCUAAUCCCGGCACUCUCUGUGUGCAUCGCUGCCUGCGGAUCAUUGCGCGAAGCUCACGCAUCGUCCGUGUCUCCGUCUCUCUGCGCUCUACCCGUGUUCGGGUUUGGAGACGUCCGCACUUUGGUGAAUACCCCCCCCCCCCGCUCCACGCAUACGCACGCACGAACAGGCGCCGCACGCGACGGCGAAGAGCUUCGAGAGCGCACACAUAGCCAACGACCCUGGCAAGAAGGGAAGCACAGGGGGAAUUCGGGGACAUCGAUCGGCACGCCCACGUGCGCCGCAAACGCGCGCGAAAACAAACAAACAAGCGGACAGCGGCAGCAUGUUCGGUACACGCGACAAAAGCCGUCAUGCUGACGAGGCCGCGGAGAAACCGGAAGGGAGCAGAAGUGGCGAUGCCGCGGGUAGCAGCAGCAGCCGACACCGGCAACAGCGGCAGCAGCAGCGAGUGCGGGAUAGCUCGGCCCGAGAGGCCAAGAACACGUUCGGUACACCGACCAUGCUUGGCAUCCAGUAUACCUCUGAGGAGGCGAGCAACAUCUACAGCAAAGUUGGCACGCUCAACGGCUACACGUUUGAGGUGCCUCCGGUGAACCGGUUCCACAGCAAAACUGCCGAGGCGAAGUUCACCCAGCUCACCGGCGGUCUUAACCCGAAGUUCGAGGCCAGCCGCUUCGACAACCUGCGCGAGCGUCUUCAAGUGGCCGAUAAGCGCGACAAGGACGGCCACUUGCAGGCGAUCGCGAUGCUGUACGCCGAGUUCCUCGGGAACAACUUUCUGAAGGCCAAGAAUAUCGACUACGCCGAAAUCGAGCGCUGCUUCUACCCGAACUACGCGCCAAAGUACGACACGCUUUUGAAGUCGCUCGGGAUGCCCAAGCCGCUGUGGUGGCGGCAGGGCAUGUUCUCGUCGCUUGAGGACAUCUCGCGUCUCCCGCUGGAUCGCUGCAACGUGGAGAAGGAGACGUCGCUGACCUUUGAGGAGUGGUACUGCCUAUUCUGGAACUACUACCAGCCCUUCAACCCCCUCGCGUAUCUGUGCAUGAUCACGGCACAGUCGAUGGUGUACACGCGAGAGCUCGUUGACAGCGUGGCUGACUACCUGGCCGAACGACACGCCUUGAUUACCGAGGCGAAGGCCAAAAGCGUACCAAUCCUGUUCCUUGGCGCGCGCACGGGCAAGUUCGGCGCACUGCUGAACGCAACCAAGAAGCUGCCGGUCCCCAUCAUUCACACGCACGAGAACCCCAACAUGAACCCCUACCUGAUGGUGAUUCCGCAGAACAAGCAGGCCGAAUUCAAGCCGAACCCGAUCGUCAAGAUGAAGAAUCAGGCAGCACUGGAGAAGUACGAACCGAGCAUCGUGCUCUUCUCCGACAUGAUCAUGAACAACGAUCCGACGGCGCAGAUCCGACAACAAGGCUCGGUGCGCGAGUACGUGUACUUUGGGGUGCCGGACAGCUACUGCGAGGGGCACGCGUGGGAUACGUGGGGCUACUUCAAGUACCGUGAACGCGGCACCGAUCACAUUCCGGCGUACAUGCGUGAAGGGUUUGGCAAGGUGACGCUACCGCACCUCUCGCGCUGGAUGAUCCACAAACUGGACAGCGACAUGCAGAUGGGCAACGGUGCCGUGACAGCGUGGAUCCGCAAGCCGCUUCUGCCAGCGGCGAGCAUGCGGUGGAGAUGGCGCAUGAUGCGCCUCCAACCAUUUUUUUGACCGGCGGUCCGAGUGUACGGGUGCUCUCUCUGGCGUGGCGGGGGGGGUGGAGGGUCACGGGAUAUGACGAAGCUGGCAGUGCGCCUCACACAGGUGAGUUGAGGCCUCUCCCGCUUCUUCCCCCAGCACAUACACGCACUCACACAUUCGCAUGCGGACCUGUUUGGGCUGCUUCCCAAGCUGCGCGCCGACUUGCCAAAACGCCCCCUAACACGUGUGUGUGUGCGCCUUCCCCCCCCUUUCUCCCCAUCCUACGCCCGCCGCCCAGGUGGAAGGAGGGAGGAGGCCAAUGUGGAAGAGCAGACCGAGAAGGCGGCGGCUCUAGUUUCUCGGCGAAGGGAGGCGUGCGCGUUGACUUCGGCGAGCUUUGGCCUUCGCUGCCCCCUCUUUCUCUGCGAGUGUUCACAUCUCGGGUAAAGCACGCCAAC